rnacentral:rRNA from 1 species
AGAGUUUGAUUAUGGCUCAGGAUGAACGCUGGCGGCGUGCUUAACACAUGCAAGUCGAGCGGAGCACAUCGUUGGAAUCCUUCGGGAGGAAGAAGGUGUGGCUUAGCGGCGGACGGGUGAGUAACGCGUGGACAACCUGCCCUAUGCAGGGGGAUAACAUCCGGAAACGGGUGCUAAUACCGCAUAAGCGCACAGUACCGCAUGGUACGGUGUGAAAAGCUGAGGCGGCAUAGGAUGGGUCCGCGUUGGAUUAGGCAGUUGGCGGGGUAACGGCCCACCAAACCGACGAUCCAUAGCCGGCCUGAGAGGGUGGACGGCCACAUUGGGACUGAGACACGGCCCAGACUCCUACGGGAGGCAGCA